AUUGGAGCUAGAAGAGCCUCCUGGAGAAGAAUCAGCAGCCUUGAACAGAAAGAAGGAAACAAGGGAAGAGAAGACAAGCUAAACAUGAUUCAGAAAUACCAGCAAAUGGUCGAGGCUGAGCUGGAGUUAAUCUGUGGCGACAUGCUGGAGGUACUAGACAAACACCUCAUUCCAGCAGCUACCACUGCCCCCAUUCACUGGGGAGAAUGGAAAGAAAACAACUGACAACAUCCUCAAAUGUAAACUCAAUUUGCCUCCCUACCUCACACAAGAAGCCAGAGAUCUGCUUAAAAAGGCUCAUCCAUUCUUUAGACACAUUAACUGGGAAGAACUUCUGGCUGGAAAGGUGGAGCCCCCCAUUUAAACCUCUGUUGCAAUCUGAAGAGGAUGUAGGUCAGUUGGAUUCCGAGUCUACACAUCAGACACCUGUCGACAGCCCAGAUGAUUCAACUCUCAGUGAAAGUGCCAAUCAGGUCUUUCCGGUUCAUCACUCGCAAGCUCUGCCUUCCAGAAAACACUAGGGAGCACAAUGCAUCCAAGUUCUUUGUCACUUUAUGACAAGCAUCACCUUUCCUCCAGUUUCCAAUAACGUGUUCUUCAUUGCCAUCUGAGACUUCAUCUGGAUGAAUUUUCCCUUCCAUAUUUUUAUUUUUUUAAGAGACUGAGUCUCCCUAUGUUGACCAGGUUGGUCUUGAAGUCUCAUCCUCAAGCAAUCCUGCCAUUUCAGCCUCCCAAAGUGCUAGGAUUCCAGGCAUGAGACACUAGGCCUGACCCCCUCCAUAUGCUACCGUCAUUCUGUCCAGCUCUCCUCUUCUGAGCCCUCACCAGAGUCACCCUUAACCAAGAGUCACAGGGAGAAGAUGGCCACCCACAUGCCAAGAGGCAGGCCUGGAACAGAGCCUUCCUGCACCGCCUCAGAGGGACGCACCCUGCUGACAUCUUGAUGGUGGACUCAUGGCCUCCAGGACUGUGAGACAGUAACAUUCUGUUGUUGAGGGUGCCCAGUCUGUGGUCCUGUAACUAGAAAACUAACACAGCCUGUUAGCCCACAGAUAGUGGAGAGGCGGAAUGAAAUAAUAAUAGAAAUAUAUGUGAAAUAAUAAUAGAAAUAAAGCAUACAAUAAAUGUAAUGGGCUUGAAUCAUCUCCGCAUCAUCCCUUCCCCGUCUCCCGGGCCCAUGGAAGAGUUGUCUUCAAGAAACCUGGUCUCUGGUGCCAAAAAGUUUGGGGACCGCUGGUGUAAAUGUUUCUAAAAAUAGUUAAACAACGUAAGGUUUACCUGCUACAAAUAAUGCAGAUUUAAAUGCUAAUAAAAAUGGGUGCAAAUGAAA